rnacentral:rRNA from 1 species
CCUACGGGUGGCAGCAGUGGGGAAUAUUGGACAAUGGGGGGAACCCUGAUCCAGCCAUGCCGCGUGUGUGAAGAAGGCCCUCGGGUUGUAAAGCACUUUCAGUGAGGAAGAACGCCUGGUGGUUAAUACCCAUCAGGAAAGACAUCACUCACAGAAGAAGCACCGGCUAACUCCGUGCCAGCAGCCGCGGUAAUACGGAGGGUGCGAGCGUUAAUCGGAAUUACUGGGCGUAAAGCGCGCGUAGGUGGCUUGAUAAGCCGGUUGUGAAAGCCCCGGGCUCAACCUGGGAACGGCAUCCGGAACUGUCAAGCUAGAGUGCAGGAGAGGAAGGUAGAAUUCCCGGUGUAGCGGUGAAAUGCGUAGAGAUCGGGAGGAAUACCAGUUGCGAAGGCGGCCUUCUGGACUGACACUGACACUGAGGUGCGAAAGCGUGGGUAGCAAACAGGAUUAGAUACCCCGGUAGUC